GACAGAGGGUGCAAACGUUGUUCGGAAUUACUGGGCGUAAAGCGCGUGUAGGCUGUUCGGAAAGUCGGACGUGAAAGCCCUGGGCUUAACCUAGGAAGUGCAUUCGAAACUUCCGAGCUGGAGUUCUGGAGAGGAAGGCGGAAUUCUCGGUGUAGAGGUGAAAUUCGUAGAUAUCGAGAGGAACACCGGUGGCGAAGGCGGCCUUCUGGACAGUGACUGACGCUGAGACGCGAAAGCGUGGGGAGCAAACAGG
rnacentral:rRNA from 1 species